rnacentral:rRNA from 1 species
UGCGUAGGCGGACUAAUAAGUCAGGGGUGAAAGCCCACAGCUCAACUGUGGAAUUGCCUUUGAAACCGUUAGUCUUGAGUAUAUUUGGAGUGGGCGGAAUGUGUUAUGUAGCGGUGAAAUGCAUAGAUAUAACACAGAACACCAAUCGCGAAGGCAGCUCACUAAACUAUCACUGACGCUGAGGCACGAAAGCGUGGGUAGCGAACAGGAUUAGAUACCAUGGUAGUC